rnacentral:lncRNA from 1 species
AAUGUAUAUAACCAUUUGCCUUACGACCUACGAAAUUCAGCUUCUCAGAGGGAGGUGUUCCGUGCCUGCCACUGGGGGCCGUGAUCUGACGGCACGCCGAUCAAUAACGAUGGAUUUUCUAUUUCGCUACGGAAAACAGGGCUCUCUCUGGGUCACAGUGAAAUCGCCUCCAACUCCACUGCUUAGACUCCGUCACCCACUGAGACCAAAGAUUUGGGGCAACCAAGAAGCAACGUGCUCCAAGUCACAAGACAUCAGCUGGAUUCGGCGAGUAACAGCCCGAAUUUCCCAACUUCUAUUCCAGCACGACAGAAAAUGCCCUUUCUACAUCAGAGAAAGUGCCAAGGGGAUUUCCAGUUUGUAAUCUUUAGAUUGGAUUACUGCUACUCAAGUUGAGGUUAGUGAAGACAACUCAGAACUUCAUCUGGUAAAAAUGCAACAGAAUAUUGACUCCGACUACUAGGUACAUGAUUCAGCUAGUCUCCAAUUUGAAGUCUUCCCUGGUUCUGAAGUCAACUGCAGUUCAGGUCACUACUUAGAACAAAUACAAUAUUCCUAACUUUCCACGAAUUCCUGAAUUUGAAUUUCAUGCUACCAUAAAGUCUCUUUUCAUGGAGGGCCUUCAUUUCUGCAAUGCCUUUACCAACCUGGUUUAAUAGAACGGCAGUUUAAUCUUUAGGGUACGCAGCAAAACAUUCUUCUUGUUUCCCUCUUCCCUUCUCACCCAAUUUGGCCUCAGUUGUUCGAACCCUGCAGUUUUAUAUAAGAGGGGAGAGGGAGUCGGUCUGUUAUUGCAUUUGCUCGGGGAUAGGGAGUCGGUCUGUUACCGCAUUUGCUCCUUUAAUUACCCGGUGCAGUGUUCUAUCAUUUAUGUGCCUACUCGGGGACGUUGCCUACGAACCGUCACUUAACGACAAAUGUACGAAAAGGGAAUUCUUUACCCAAACUCAGUCAAUCUCUCCAUCGUAUCUAUUGAGCGCUUACUGUGUGCAGAGCACUGUACUAAGUGUUUGGGAGAGUACAAUAACAACUGAGUCGGUAGACACGCUCCCUGCUCACAAUGAGCUUUACUAUGCUAGACGACGUACAUUAUUUUAACUUUUCCAAUAACUCUUUUAAACUUGUGGUAUUCCAGCACAAAAUAGUGAUUUUAAUCGUGGACCCCGACUUUCAUAAUUGCAUCCUAAUUUUUUAAUGGAAAAAAAAUCUAAUAACUAAAUGAUAACCAUGAAAAUUCUAUGACUGCAUGUGACGGGAGCAGUUCACACAAGUUCCAUCAGGAGAAGCAGACUGGGGAGUAGGCGUAAAUGUGGAAGCUUGGAGAGGAGCUCCAAGUUGGAUUUAAAAUGAUAAGGUCUUAUUUUAGCAAAGCUAAGGUGAAGAUGGAGAGUCAAUAUUGAAUUUUCCACCUGUCUGGGAGAAGACGCCAAAAAGCCAAAGGGGAAAAAUGUAAUGUAACAAAAAGAAAAGACAAAAAAACCACACACACACACACACGAAAACCUAAACCCCAAACAGCUGUGGUACAUUGCAGAAAUUGAAAGUCAGGUAUUCUCUAGGGGAUUUCGGUGGCAGAGAAGAACACACUUGAGGGAGCAGGCCAAACAAAUGAAGGGGGUUGGGGGGAAGGGGAAGAAGAGGGAAAGAAAGUUUAACUGCAAAAGGGCAAGUUCGGAAGAAAAGAAAGAACAGGUACCAGUUCGAUAUAUCCUGCUUGUUUGGGUUUUCACGAUUAUAAAAUCAAAACCAAAUUGAAACUAUCCUCCCCUGUAACAGAUCAUAAUUUGGCUUGUCCAAAUUUACUGACUAGAUCUAGCUAAGGAAAUAAUUGGCUGUAUUUCAGAGAAACAGUGAAAAUACAGGUCCCGCUUCCCAUAAACAGCACAUUUUGGAUCUAAAAACAAAUCUCUCCUUAAACAAAACAACAAUCACAUUAGACUUUAUCCGUGAGCAAUCGAAAUGAUGCAAAACUUGCCAAAUCAUGAAAGUGCCCGUACCUAUUUGGCAGAUGUGAGAGCUGUUAAAAAUAAUUGUAGGUAACUCGACAAAUAAAAGAUGCAGUCUUAGGCAUUUAUAUUAAAUGGCACAGAGACCAACGGUUUACAGAAAAAGAGACUGCUCUCUAGGAACAUGUUUUUCAGUGUGAAAUGCAGGACAUGCUUAUUUAUGAUAGUAACACUUCUUUAUGAGCUUUUGAGAAUACUUUUCAACAUAAAUGUUUAGAGAAGGUUAAAUAGGGGCAUGGCUGUAGAAAUUCCCUUUUGCAGACAAAUCAAAACCAGUCUUCACGGAGAAAAAUACAAACGGACAAAAAGAGAGUAAAAAAACCCCCCAAAACAACAAAAAACAAUGCACUCAAAAUCAGGAGCUCAAUAAAGUCUAUUGUUUGACCGAUAUAUUAAGACCAUGUUGAACUUCCCAUCAGAAGGAAGUUCUGGGCAAGACAAGCUACUGUUAUUUUCCAGACAACCACAGAGGGAGUCUGCGUCUGACACAGUUUGUAAGUUUUCAGCAUAUCCAGCACUGUUAUCGAAGCAUGAAGCCUUGCUCACCCUAUUAACGACAUCCCUAAGUUUAGGCCUCUGGCUCCUAUCCUCUUGAAGCCUAAGAAGCUCCCUAAAACGGCGUCAGUGACUAACCGAGUCCCGGUGGAAAAGUGCCAGACACUUCGAAAGUAAUUAGGGUGAAUCGAGAUAUCCAGAGAUGCUCCGAUAAACCGGCGUGAAACACCUAUCUCAGAUUGCACAUGGAAAGUUUUGUGUCUGCGGAAAAUUCACUUCUAACAUUACUGCACUGAGCAAAUCAGUCAACGGUAUUUACUGGAUGCUUAUUGCGUCCAAAGCAACGUACCAAGCCCUUGCGGGAGUACAACAGAGUUGGUAGACUAAGCCCACUAGAGGCUUACAUUCCAGAGGGAAACAGACAUUAAACUCAAUUACGGAUAUGUACUUAAGUGCUGGGAGGCUGAGAAUGGAGUGAAAAUCCAAAAGCAAAAGGAGGUUUUCUGAAAUAAACUUCUUCAUUGGUGGGAGGGUGGAGGCGGGGCGAGGAUGGAAGGGGACAGAAAGCUUGAACCGGACACAAUCAUUUCCCGACAACUAAAACUAAAACCUUUACACUAACGGCAGUUUAUCUGACAAAUAUGAUGAGCCUUUCCCAAACCUUAGGUCGAAAUGAUUUUCUGGAAUGUCCUCCAUGGACACGGCUUCCUUUUUUGCUCAUCCUUAAAUGACUUAGGUGUUUCUAGACCAGAGACUAUACAUAAGUCGAUAUCUAAUCGCACCACAUUUAAGUGGCAAGGGAAGAUCACGAAAGUCGCUUCUUUUUCUAAGCGAAGCCAAAAGGGAUGAAAUCAUAGUUUUGCUUUAACUCCUGACUGCUCGAUUUCUAGCUCCCAAACAACUUCAUUCCAAAGACCUCAAGCCCUUGAGUUUCAAGACAAAAGGUUAUUCUCUUCCUAUCUUGUUUUCUUCGUCCUCUGCCACCUUCAACCUCUUGGCGGGCCCCAAAAUCUCUACUAAAGCUCGUUAAGAGGUGGUCCUUGGAAACACCCGGGGAGUGGAGAGGAAUUCCGGAGUCCUACCAACGAGAAGCGGAGCAUGUGAAGUCAGAGAUAAAAAUAAACACCAACUAGCCGAGCGCUCGCAAACCAG